GAAAAUUCCCGAGAUACUUCCAAUAAAUAGUAGACCACGUCUACUUGCUAAUUGCGCAAUCAAUUUAUCUAAAUCGCACAACAAUUGACUAAUAAUUGCUAAUUUAUUCUAAUCUAACAACCUAAACAUAAUUAAUUAAAAUUAAACCAACAUUAAGCAUAAUUAGCCAACUAAUCCAGGAUUAGUGAGAUUACUCACCAAAUCGCGCGCAAAUCGGAUCAAUCCGACGGCGGCGACGCGAGGAACAAUUCUUCCCAAAGCACGGCUCGGGUUCGGGGCCGAGAAACGGCCCAAAACGGCCCACGAACAGCUGGAUACCCACUCCGUGGGUUUGCUGGUUUGGCCGCAAAACAGCAAGAAAGAGAGAGGGUUGGGGGCGGCAAGAGGUCGGGAGAGCGGGUGGUGGCUUGGCGAGGCCGAGCGGUGGCCCACGGUGGCCGGAGGUGGCCGGAUCGUGGCCGAACGGAGCUGAACAGAGGCUGGGCAGCGGCUGGAUCGUGCGGAGGAGGACGCCUGGACGCGAGGGACGGCCGGCGGAACGCGCGGCGUUGCGCGGGUGGCGCGGACGGCGGCCCGGAGGCGUGCGGCAGCAACGGCGAGCUGCUUCGGCGAGCUGCUGUCUUCGCUUCAGCUCCUGCUUUUGUUCGCUGGUUGCACGAAGAAGAAAGGAGAAGAAGAAGGGCUCGGUCACGUGGGGUUGGGGGAAAAAAGAAAGAGGAGAAAGAAGAAGAGAUAAGUGAGGAAACUUUGACUAGUCAAAAGGGGGAGGAGAAAGCAAAAUAGAAAACGG
rnacentral:lncRNA from 1 species